AUCAUGAUUGUCAGUUGUUAUAAUGUAUAUAUAGUACUCAAUAUGAACGUUGAGAUAUUGACAGACUAUUCCGGAUAGGAAAUUUCGCUAUCUAUCAAGCUCCAACAAUGAAGGCAAUCAUUCUCUUGACCAUUUUGCUGGUAUCUUGUGCUGUCUAUGGUGAAAUGUUAGCUGAAGAGACUAGAGCAGUGAAUGAAAAUAACGCUGUAGAAUCAGAGCUGACUCAAAGCACUGAAGAAAAGAAACGCGUAUGGGCAAACUGUGCCCCUAAUGACUACAAAUGUCUCUAUGGAUAAUAUUGAAGUAGACAGUAAACUGGCUGACAUUCUCUACUUAAAUUAAAAAAUUCAUUGUCUCAAAUCUAAUAAACUAUAUAUAAGGAAAUUUA